GGGUUGUCAUGCCAAUGGCAUUGCCCGGUAGCUACGUUCGGAACUGAUAAGCGCUGAAAGCAUCUAAGCGCGAAGCAGGCCUCGAGAUGAGUUCUCACUAGACUUUUAAAGUCUCUGAAGGGCCGUUAAAGACUACAACGUUGAUAGGCAAGAUGUGGAAGUGGUGUGAGCCAUUAAGCUAACUUGUACUAAUUACCCGUGAGGCUUAACCAUACAACGCCAAACGCGUUU
rnacentral:rRNA from 1 species